GAACCCAGGUCUUUGUGAUGUCUCCUUGGAGGAUUAAGAAAGUCGAGUCAUUGCAGUCCAGCAGGUUCGACUGAUACGCUCCUCCUACAUGAAAAAGGUAGAGGAACAGGCCCUGGGUGCC